UUGAACGCUGGCGGCAUGCUUUACACAUGCAAGUCGAACGGCAGCGGGGGCUUCGGCCCGCCGGCGAGUGGCGAACGGGUGAGUAAUACAUCGGAACGUGCCCGAUCGUGGGGGAUAACGCAGCGAAAGCUGUGCUAAUACCGCAUACGAUCUACGGAUGAAAGCGGGGGAUCGCAAGACCUCGCGCGGACGGAGCGGCCGAUGGCAGAUUAGGUAGUUGGUGGGAUAAAAGCUUACCAAGCCGACGAUCUGUAGCUGGUCUGAGAGGACGACCAGCCACACUGGGACUGAGACACGGCCCAGACUCCUACGGGAGGCAGCAGUGGGGAAUUUUGGACAAUGGGCGAAAGCCUGAUCCAGCCAUGCCGCGUGCAGGAUGAAGGCCUUCGGGUUGUAAACUGCUUUUGUACGGAACGAAAAAGUCUUCUCUAAUACAGGGGGCGAAUGACGGUACCGUAAGAAUAAGCACCGGCUAACUACGU
rnacentral:rRNA from 1 species